rnacentral:rRNA from 1 species
UAAGGAAUAUUGGUCAAUGGACGCAAGUCUGAACCAGCCAUGCCGCGUGAAGGAUGAAGGUCCUCUGGAUUGUAAACUUCUUUUAUCUGGGACGAAAACGGGAUUUUUAUCUCAAUUGACGGUACCAGAGGAAUAAGCACCGGCUAACUCCGUGCCAGCAGCCGCGGUAAUACGGAGGGUGCAAGCGUUAUCCGGAUUUACUGGGUUUAAAGGGUGCGUAGGUGGGCUUAUAAGUCAGUGGUGAAAUCUCCGAGCUUAACUUGGAAACUGCCGUUGAUACUAUAGGUCUUGAAUUAUCUGGAGGUAAGCGGAAUAUGUCAUGUAGCGGUGAAAUGCUUAGAUAAGACAUAGAACACCAAUUGCGAAGGCAGCUUACUACAUAUAAAUUGACGCUGAGGCACGAAAGCGUGGGGAUCAAACA